rnacentral:rRNA from 1 species
GAUGAACGCUGGCGGCGUGCCUAUUACAUGCAAGUCGAGCGAAUGGAUCAAGAGCUUGCUCUUAUGAAGUUAGCGGCGGACGGGUGAGUGACACGUGGGUAACCUGCCCAUAAGACUGGGAUAACUCCGGGAAACCGGGGCUAAUACCGGAUAACAUUUUGAACCGCAUGGUUCGAAAUUGAAAGGCGGCUUCGGCUGUCACUUAUGGAUGGACCCGCGUCGCAUUAGCUAGUUGGUGAGGUAACGGCUCACCAAGGCAACGAUGCGUAGCCGACCUGAGAGGGUGAUCGGCCACACUGGGACUGAGACACGGCCCAGACUCCUACGGGAGGCAGCAGUAGGGAAUCUUCCGCAAUGGACGAAAGUCUGACGGAGCAACGCCGCGUGAGUGAUGAAGGCUUUCGGGUCGUAAAACUCUGUUGUUAGGGAAGAACAAGUGCUAGUUGAAUAAGCUGGCACCUUGACGGUACCUAACCAGAAAGCCACGGCUAACUACGUGCCAGCCGCCGCAGUAA